UACGAAGGGUGCAAGCGUUACUCGGAAUUACUGGGCGUAAAGCGUGCGUAGGUGGUUCGUUAAGUCUGUCGUGAAAGCCCCGGGCUCAACCUGGGAAUGGCGAUGGAUACUGGCGGGCUAGAGUGCGGUAGAGGAGAGUGGAAUUCCCGGUGUAGCAGUGAAAUGCGUAGAGAUCGGGAGGAACAUCAGUUGCGAAGGCGGCUCUCUGGACCAUUACUGACGCUGAGGUGCGAAAGCGUGGGGAGCAAACAGG
rnacentral:rRNA from 1 species